UACAUGGGGUGCAAACGUUGCUCGGAAUUAUUGGGCGUAAAGCGCGCGUAGGCGGUUACUUAAGUCGGAUGUGAAAGCCCUCGGCUUAACUGAGGAAGUGCACCCGAAACUGAGUAGCUAGAGUACGAAAGAGGGUCGCGGAAUUCCCGGUGUAGAGGUGAAAUUCGUAGAUAUCUGGAGGAACACCGGUGGCGAAGGCGGCAUCCUGGACCGACACUGACACUGAGGAGCGAAAGCCAGGGGAGCAAACGGG
rnacentral:rRNA from 1 species